AUUCUAUGCUUCUAUGAAUUUCACCUAGCUUUUGACAUCUGCAGUGUAGACAUUCACAGUUUUAACAUCCAUGUCUUCUGUCCCUCUAGGCUGUGGGUGGGGAAAGACAGACACUGCCAGGGCCCAGCACAACUCCCCUUCAGCACACACCUGAAUAGACUGGAGGAAUUGUAUGCCAUGAGUGCCUUUUUCCAUCAGUAAAGUACACAGACUAAACACAAGGAGCAGAACAUUCCUGCUACAAUCCUGCCUCCUGCCUCCAAGCCACCCCAACACAUGCCAGGCAAUUAUCACAUCCCAUUUCUGGAAGUUCCAGAAGCUUUCAGAAUUAUCCAGGUGUGCAAUCAGCUUGUGUAUAAGGAUAUACAUUCCAGAUAAUGCUCACCACUUCAAUCACUACUUUUUUUGUCUGUCUUUCUUUUCACUCAGGAAAGUCAUGUGCUACAAAAGAUGUAGGCUAUGGGCAUACAGUGACAG
rnacentral:lncRNA from 1 species